rnacentral:rRNA from 1 species
AUUGAACGCUGGUGGCAGGCCUAACACAUGCAAGUCGAGCGAGCGGCGGACGGGUGAGUAAUGUCUGGGAAACUGCCCGAUGGAGGGGGAUAACUCCUGGAAACGGUAGCUAAUAUCGCAUACCAUCAGAUGUGCCCAGGUGGGAUUAGCUAGUAGGUGGGGUAACGGCUCACCUAGGCGACGCUCCCUAGCUGGUCUGAGAGGAUGACCAGCCACACUGGAACUGAGACACGGUCCAGACUCCUACGGGAGGCAGCAGUGGGGAAUAUUGCACAAUGGGCGCAAGCCUGAUGCAGCCAGGCCGCGUGUGUGAAGAAGGCCUUCGGGUUGUAAAGCACUUUCAGCGGGGAGGCGUUACCCGCAGAAGAAGCACCGGCUAACUCCGUGCCAGCCGCCGCGGUAAUUC